CUGGGAUUAGAUACCCCACUAUGCUUAGCCCUAAACACAGAUAAAACCUCACUUAUUUUUAUCCGCCCGGGUACUACGAGCAUCAGCUUGAAACCCAAAGGACUUGGCGGUACUUCAGACCCAUCUAGAGGAGCCUGUCCUAUAACCGAUAAUCCCCGUUAAACCUCACCCCUCCUUGCAUCUUCCCGCCUAUAUACCGCCGUCGUAAGCUUACCCUGUGAAGGACUAAUAGUAUAGCACAAUUGGCAUUCCCCCAGAACGUCAGGUCGAGGUGUAGCUAAUGGAGGGGGAAGAGAUGGGCUACAUUCCCUGCCACAGGGCAAACGAAUCAAUGCACUGAAACGUGCUUAAGAAGGUGGAUUUAGUAGUAAGCAGUGAAUAGAGUGCUCUGCUGAAACCGGCCCUGAAGUGUGCACACACCGCCCGUC
rnacentral:rRNA from 1 species